ACGAGAAUAUUCCGCAAUGGACGAAAGUCUGACGGAGCGAUACCGCGUGAUGGACGAAGUGCUUCGGCACGUAAACAUCUUUUAUGUGGGACGAAAUUAUUGACGGUACCACAAGAAUAAGGGGCUCCUAACUCUGUGCCAGCAGGAGCGGUAAUACAGAGGCCCCAAGCAUUACCCGGAAUCACUGGGCGUAAAGGGUGUCGAGGCGGUCAUGUUAGUCGUUUGUAAAAUCCGUGGGCUCAACCUACGGUUCGCAAGCGAAACGGCAUGACUUGAGGUUGGGAGAGGUGCGUGGAACUCACGGUGUAGGGGUGAAAUCCGUUGAUAUCGUGGGGAACACCAAAGGCGAAGGCAGCGCACUGGCCCAAAUCUGACGCUCACACACGAAAGCUAGGGUAGC
rnacentral:rRNA from 1 species